rnacentral:rRNA from 2 species
UAUAAGUAUAAACGCUUUAAGCGUGAAACCGCGAACGGCUCAUUACAACAGCUAUAAUUUACUUGAUCUUGACAAACUUACAUGGAUAACUGAGGUAAUUCUUGAGCUAAUACAUGCACCAAAGCUUUGACCGUAAGGGAAGAGCGCAUUUAUUAGAACAAAACCAAACGGCUUCGGCUGUUCCCAGUUGAAUCAGAAUAACUCAGCUGAUCGUACGGUCUUGCACCGACGACGUGUCUUUCAAGUAUCUGCUUUAUCAACUUUCGAUGGUAGGGUAUCUGCCUACCAUGGUGGUGACGGAUAACGGAGGAUCAGGGUUCGACUCCGGAGAAGGGGCCUGAGAAAUGGCCACUACGUCUAAGGAUGGCAGCAGGCGCGCAAAUUACCCACUCUCAGAAUUUGGAGGAGGUAGUGACGAGAAAUAACGAGGUUGAUCUCUUCUGAGGCCAACCAUCGGAAUGGGUACAAUUUAAACCCUUUAACGAGUAUCUAUGAGAGGGCAAGUCUGGUGCCAG